rnacentral:rRNA from 1 species
UACGGGGGGAGCAAGCGUUGUUCGGAUUUACUGGGCGUAAAGGGCGCGUAGGCGGCGCAACAAGUCACUUGUGAAAUCCCCGGGCUCAACCCGGGAACUGCGUCCGAGACUGGAAGGCUUGAAUCCGGGAGAGGGAUGUGGAAUUCCAGGUGUAGCGGUGAAAUGCGUAGAUAUUGGGAGGAACACCAGUGGCGAAGGCGGUCCCCUCGGGUGCCGGAACUGACGCUGAGGCGCGAAAGCGUGGGUAGCAAACGGG